AACGGCCCACCAAGGCGACGAUGACUAGGGGAUCUGAGAGGAUGGCCCCCCACACUGGUACUGAGACACGGACCAGACUCCUACGGGAGGCAGCAGUAAGGAAUAUUGGUCAAUGGGCGCAAGCCUGAACCAGCCAUGCCGCGUGCAGGAAGACGGCCCUACGGGUUGUAAACUGCUUUUGUACCGGAAUAAACCCCCGGAUGUAUCCGGGGUUGAACGUACGGUAAGAAUAAGGAUCGGCUAACUCCGUGCCAGCAGCCGCGGUAAUACGGAAGGGUGCAAGCGUUGUCCGGAUUUAUUGGGUUUAAAGGGUGCGUAGGUGGGUGCUUAAGUCUGGUUUGAAAGCCAGGUGGCUCAACCAUCUGAUGGUGGCUGGAAACUGGGCGCUUGAAUGGGUUGGCGGUGCCGGAAC
rnacentral:rRNA from 1 species